GUAUGUACUGCAUUGAUGAUAAGGCUAACUCUUCAGUCACUGAGGUAUGUACUGCAUCGAUGAUAAGGCUAACUCUUCAAUCACUGAGGUAUGUACUGCAUGGAUGAUAAGGCUAACUCUUCAAUCACUGAGGUAUGUACUGCAUGGACGAUAAGGCUAACUCUUCAGUCACUGAGGUAAACAGUGUAAUAAACUCACAUUAUGAACUCAGUUGCCCACAUAGGUUUUGUCAGUAUUUUUUAUUUAGAGGAAAGUGAGUUAUCCAAG